rnacentral:piRNA from 1 species
UGUGAAUCCAGAGAGUGACAC